UGCGUAGGCGGAUAAAUAAGUCAGUGGUGAAAUCUUUCGGCUCAACCGGGAAACUGCCAUUGAUACUGUUAGUCUUGAGUUCGGUUGAGGUAGGCGGAAUGUGUAAUGUAGCGGUGAAAUGCUUAGAUAUUACACAGAACACCAAUUGCGUAGGCAGCUUACUAGACCGACACUGACGCUGAGGCACGAAAGCGUGGGGAGCGAACAGGAUUAGAUACCCUGGUAGUCC
rnacentral:rRNA from 1 species